rnacentral:lncRNA from 1 species
CAUAAUUUUAAAAAACUGUGCUUAUGCUAAAAACAGAUCCUUAGCAUUCUUCCAGUAUUCUUAGUUGUGUCAUUUGCUUUAAAAUAAGCCUAAGAAUUGCACCAGAAUUAGCUGCACAACUCCGCCAGGAAAUGCAAAGUUUUAUUGUUAUAGGAUUCUAGAAACAAUCAUAUUAUAUAUCUGGAAACUCUAUACACACAUGCCCACACACACAAAAACACACACAAUUUUCACUGAAUAGACAUCAUAAUAAGCACACUGAAAACCUAAUAAAGUUAUUAUAAAGCUGUAGAACACAAUGAUUAAAAGCAAAUGAUAAUCUUAAAUUUUAAAGAACUGAAAAUAUUAGAAUUUAAGAAUUAAAAUGUUCUAAUUGUUCUUUGGUCCACUAUCAUAGAUUUCAAGCAGAUUAAUUAAUGUAGUAGAAUGACAUUAAUAGUUCCUAUCAAUGGGAUUUAAUUUAUACCAUUUUGAAAAUAGUUUGUUGUCAUAUAUUGUUUACUGUGUGACUUCUUGUAUUUGCUCUAAAGUAAGGCUAAAUCACAUCUUAGCCUCAUCUCAUCCAAGGAAGUGAUUACAGUAAAGGUAUCCAUGUUGGGUUAAUGUGUAAAAUAGUGGUUGUGGAUUAAUGUGGGUUUGAUGUAGGAAUUUAUUAUUCUCCUUAUUAAGAUUAGCUUGAAAUGUACUGUGUGACGAAUAUUUAGUCUAUUCAAUAAGUGGUAUUCAACAGAUAUAUAUCAACAAGUGCUAUGUACCAACCACUGUUCAAGGUGGCAGAUAAAAAUAUAGGCAAAGAUAAUAUUAAUCCAAAUUGCACAUGAAAACAUUUGAUACUAUUGAUAAUGUGGCAGAUGAAAUGAUUUUCACUUUAUUAUAAUUUUUAAGAGAAUGAGAUAAUUAAAUGUGUACUGUAAGUGUUACAAGAAGCCUAUCCAUGUUAUUCUUUACUGAAAUAAUUAGAUUACAAAAAUCACCUUUUUCAAAAGAAAUUUAUAUUAUAAAUGCUCCCAUGGCAAAAACAAAAAGCCUGGUCUUUGACUUGGAAUAUAUUCUUAUUAUAUAAAGUAAGAUACAUGGCAGAGAGAAGAAAAAACAAUUUUAUUCAUCUGUCCUGGUAAUGACAAAAAAGACAGAAGUCAUAUUUUUUUUGCAAUUUUAGAUUGGACUCCUAAGAAUAGCAGACAGUUGGCAGUGUAAAUAUGUUGUAAAUUAGCUAGCCCUGAAACAAAAUGACUGAUCAUUAGCAAAUCGGGCAACUUUUAUUAUUGCCAUUGUAAGUUGCUUUACCUAUCAUGAGUGUGCUCUUAUACUAUUAGAAUUGAAAUCUAUUCUGUACUGCCAAUUUAUAUCCCUGUUUUAUAAUCUUGGGAUUCUUGCUUUACAUUCUAAAAUGUUGUCUCUGAACAAUUAGUGAAUAUCAAGUAAGUUUUUUAUUUUUUUUAAAGGUAGUCUUAAAAGUCUAAUGAUCUUUAGUGAAAAUAAUGAGGAGAUUUGGAUAUGGUGGUUCAUUUCUGUAAUCCCAAGUAGUUGGAAGGAUGAGGCAGGAGUAUAUUACUUGAACCCUGGAGUGUGAGGACUGAUUGAGCUAUGUGCUAUCAUCAUGCCACUGCAGUCCAGCCUGGGCCACAGAGCAUAAUCUGAAUAAAAAAUAGAACUAUAAAAAGUAAUAUAGCAUUGCUGUUUUUAAUUCACUUGUAGUAAUGCAUAGAUAGCAUAUUUAGCCAAAACGUUUUAAACUGGUAAUAUGCCAAGAGGUCAGAUGUUUGAGUCAGAUUGCUAGCUAGCUCCUCAACUGGCUAAAUCUGUAGUAUUUUGCAAAGUAUUUCUCCUAAAUGUAAUUAGUUUUUUUAUUUGUUAAAUGGAUUUACUAAUGCUACCUGCUUAGGAAACUAACUCUGAUAUUAAUUAGUUUACCUCAAAAACUUGUUCUGAAUGACAUAUAUUAGGCAAUAAAAUAUUAGCUACUACUUGAUAUUACAAAUUCUUUUCAUCUGUUUACUUUUAAAGCUCAUAGUGAGCACAAUAAAAUUCCAGAAGACCGAUGAUGGCUGUUAGAUAUAACAGAACGCUCUGAGAGUCACUAUCAGAAAUGAGCAUAUCAGUGCAUAAAAUGUAUGGUAGCUUUAUUUAGCAGCUGUUUCAUUGUUUACCAUAGCAUUUUUUCUUACAAUUUUGUAGAAGCCUGUGUCAGAAUCAAGAAGUUUUUUUUAGAAGAUGAUAAUCAUGGAUGAUUGAAAUCAUACUGAAAAUUAUUCUAAAUUCUAUUAUAUUUAUAGUUGUAUUUUCUUUCAAAGGAUAAUGGAAGUCUUAAAAAGAAAAUGGAUACUUCUCUGCCAGGGGAGAUACUGUGAUCAUGAAGGUGGCUUUCCCAGGGCAAGGCUGAUCUAUUGCAUUCUGGAUGUGCUGACUCCUACGAUUUCCCCAAGUGUGGGAAACUCAACUGCAUAAUUUGUGGAAAAUUUGAAGCCAGAUGACAAAGAUGCCUUAGAUGAGCAUAAGUCCUCUCCAACAGAAUAUGCUCCAUUAUAUCCUCAUCCAACAGGCUUUAUGUAUCAAUAGCCUGCCAACAGGACAUUGUUCAUCCACCUUGAAACGGCCAUUCAUCAACCAAGCAGGUUGUUGUUGUCAAUAGGGAGCUCUUCAAAGGGCAUUGCCCAUGUGACAGUGGGAUCCAGUAAUUCCUGAGGUGGUUCCAGACUACAUGCUAGAAAAUUCCCUACUACCUGCUCUUGAACAGGAUGAGCAACUCCUUGCACUUCCCUGGUUUGUGAUGAAGAAAUAAACAAUGCCCAGUUCCUGCCCUGGAGAAGCUCAUUGCAUAGAAAAAGGAAAAAGGCAGAUAUACAUGCCACAGUACAGUGCUGAGACAACAUAAAUCACAAGCAACCAAGUACAAAGUGAAUUAUACAGAAUCUGGUUUUCUUCUGUUUGGAUUUGAUACUGAGCUAUACUGGAUUCACUGACAAGAAGAGUUUGAAUUAGCAGCAUGCUGAGAAUGGACACAGUGUUUGAAGAGACUGAUAAAGAAAGUACAGGAGGAGUUUUAUUUUUGGAAGAAGAAAUGGUCCUUGGGCACAGACCCCAUAUGAGUUUUCCUUUCAGCGUUCUCUGCUCAGCUGUUCUCUGCUGUGGUGAGGCGCCUAUGCUUUGUAUAUGUCUGAAAUUAAUUGAAAAGCUAGUGACAGAUUCUGAUGUCAUUUGCCAUGAGCUUUAUUAUUGUGCAGGUAAUUUUGGAUCAAAUCACCCUAACGUUUUUCAACAAAGACUUUAGAAGAAAUAAAGCUGCAUUACUUUUUCUUGGCGCAUUCUUCCUUUAGGACCUAUAGUGAGGCAAUGUGUCCAUGCCCGUCUCUUGUGGGUCAGUCACCACUGACACCUUAUUUUGACCACUCGAUGCCAUCAUCUUUCUCUCAUCGAUCCUAAUCCUUGGGACUACGCAUCAAUGUCUGCACAGUGAUGUUUUAAAUAGAGACAGAACUUGCCCUGUGGCCCACGUUGGAGUCCGCUGGCAUGAUCGUGAUCCACUGCAGCCUCAACUUCUUUGGGUUCAAAUGAACUUCCCACCUUAGCCACCUGAGCAUCUCGCCUAUCUGGACUCCACCUAUCCUCCCCUGUCAGCAUCUCACAGCAUAGGCAUGGGCCACCAGAACCAGCUUAUUUUUGUAUUUUUUUAAGCAGAAGAGAUCUUACCAUGUUGUGAAGACUGGUCUCGUACUUCUGGCUGAAGUGAUUUGUUCUCCUAAGCCUUCCAAAUUGGUGGGAUUACAUAUGUGAACCACCACACAAAGACUCCUACUGGUAUAUUUAGAAGGAUAUAAGUAUGCCGGUUUUUGGAUGCAUGCAUGGAGAAGACCCCAAAGCUUUUCACUUUUCCCUGAGUUUGGGCUAAACACUAGAGUUCCUCAAAGAGUCCAUAUCCAAAGUCUGGGCAGUUUUUCUUUUCUUUCUUUUCCUUUUUUUUUUUCUUGGAUUGUUUUUAAAAAAUAUGUCGAGAAUAGUAGACCAUCAAAAAGGUGACAGAACACAGAUUAAGUGGAUAUACAACACAAAGAAUGCAGACCACAAAAAUAGCUCUGGAGGGUUGCUACACAAGUAAACAACCCACAAACUAAGGAAUUGUGGAUGUUAAGAAUUUGUUAUCCAAAUAUGCUGAAUACUAUCCAAUAUUUCAAUUCACUUCAUUUUACUAUUCUCAAAGACCUAAGGGAACCCAGGAGUACAGUGAUUCAAAACUGAAAAUACCAGUAAAGACAUACAGAUUAUUUUAAAAAUGAAAUCAAUAACCUUGAAGUUACUAGGAAGCUGUGUGAUUGAAAGUCAGUCACUCAAUCACAUGAUCCUGGGAUUUUCCUCUACAUGUGGGACUACCCAUACCUUGCAGCAUUGCUGUGAGUUCACCUGAGCAAGACACCUGCACAUGGUGGUGCUCAGGAAAUGUUAAUUUCCCUUUAUUGAAAUGGAACAACCCAUGGGUAUUAUGUCUUGAGGUCUGGAUUACAGUUGAGCAAGAUACAGAAGACGUUGUAAACCCUGAGGAGGCAUCACUGAUCACUGGGAGUCUGGAAAGGCAGCAGAGAAAAAGUGACCUGCAGCUGGAAAUGGCCAAUGGGUCUGUUACAGGAAGUUACACAGGCAUGAGUGGGGCAGAAGAGAGUUCUCCCAUCCACCUACCAGGAAUGUCAGGCCAUCGGGUAAUGGUUGGACAGUUAUCACAUUGCUUUUCUAAAAAUAAUAAUUUAGCAGCAGAGCCAGGGAUAGACAAGUUCCUACUGAUACACAGCUGGUAACAUUAAAGUGUUAACUAAAGUCACACUCCCGGGAGGGGGAAAAAGGGCUUCUAGUAAAAUUUUACAUACUGGGUGAGUGAACUGAGACAUGCACAUUAAGAGACGAAAUGGUACAGCAUGACUUUCUGGGGUCACUCCACCAAAAAAAGGGAGGAAGCUUCAGAUGGGCAUGCAUAUAAAUGCUCAAACACACUGCCUAUGCUCACUUCUCAAGGGUAAGGAGGGCACUGUGCCUGCUGGCAGCCCACACUUAGGAAAGAAUCAUGGAAAAAGGUGCACCAGAUGCUCAAGGUGGGCCAGCCUAUAAAGUCCCAGAAUGAAGAGAAAUGGCCACACUUGUUCUUCAAGUCACCCACUUGGAUCUCUUCCAAGUGCACUUUUCAUUCUUUCCUGCUCUAAAGCUUUUUAAUAAAUGUCCACUCCUGCUGUGAAACUUGCCUCAGGAUUUUUUUUCCUUCUUUAUGCCCAUCAGUUGAACUCUUUCACCUGAGGAGGCAAGAACUGACAUUGCUAAAGACGCAGAUGGAUUUGCUGCCAGUAACUCCGAUACUUUCCACCAGUAACAGAUCUAGGAGCUGGUGGACAUAGUUGCUGAAGCAUGUGUCCAGAAUGUUUCUGCCCAGGCCACAAGCAGUCCUGCACUGUAAAGGGACUUGAACCCCAAGCUCAGGGGACACCAUGGAAAGAGACUUCAGCCCGCUGAUGGAAUACUGGAGAUAGGAAUUUUUUAUUGAGGUAUAAUUCCCAUAAUAUGUUAACUGUUUUUUAAGGUAUAAUUCAGUGACACAGGAAUGUGCAUGUUCUACCACUUCUUAAUUCCAAAUUAUUUUCAUCAUCUCAAAAGGAAAUCCCCUACCUAUUAAGGAGCUACUACCCAAUCUGUCCUCUUUCUGACUCCUGACAAUUAACAAUCUGUUUUCUUUCUCUGUGAAAUUAUUUAUUUUGGAUAUGUUUAUAAAUAAAAUCAUACAAUACGUGA